rnacentral:rRNA from 2 species
UUUGGGUGACGAGCGGCGGACGGGUGAGUAAUGUCUGGCAAACUGCCUGAUGCAGGGGGAUAACUACUGUAAACGGUAGCUAAUACCGCAUAACGUCGCAAGACCAAAGUGGGGGACCUUCGGGCCUCAUGCCAUCAGAUGUGCCCAGAUGGGAUUAGCUAGUAGGUGAGGUAAUGGCUCACCUAGGCGACGAUCCCUAGCUGGUCUGAGAGGAUGACCAGCCACACUGGAACUGAGACACGGUCCAGACUCCUACGGGAGGCAGCAGUGGGGAAUAUUGCACAAUGGGCGCAAGGAUGAUGCAGCCAUGCAGCGUGUGUGAAGAAGGCCUUGGGGUUGUAUAGUACUUUCA